AGGGGUGAAAGGCUAAACAAACUUGGAAAUAGCUGGUUCUCUCCGAAAACUAUUUAGGUAGUGCCUCAAGUAUUACCAUCGGGGGUAGAGCACUGUUAUGGCUAGGGGGUCAUCGCGACUUACCAAACCAUUGCAAACUCCGAAUACCGAGACGGACUGUAUGGGAGACACACGGCGGGUGCUAACGUCCGUCGUGAAAAGGGAAACAACCCAGACCCACAGCUAAGGUCCCAAAUUCACUGCUAAGUGGAAAACCAUGUGGAAAGGCACAGACAGCCAGGAGGUUGGCUUAGAAGCAGCCACCCUUUAAAGAAAGCGUAAUAGCUCACUGGUCGAGUCGGUCUGCGGGGAAGAUUUAACGGGGCUAAGCAGUGAACCGAAGCUUGGGGUGCAUAACUUUGUUAUGCGCGGUAGAGGAGCGUUCCGUAAGCCGUUGAAGGUGGAUUGAGAAGUCUGCUGGAGGUAUCGGAAGUGCGAAUGCUGACAUGAGUAACGAUAAUGCGGGUGAAAAACCCGCACGCCGAAAGCCCAAGGUUUCCUUGCGCAACGUUAAUCGGCGCAGGGUGAGUCGGCCCCUAAGGCGAGGACGAAAGUCGUAGUCGAUGGGAAGCAGGUUAAUAUUCCUGCACCUCGCGUAAGUGCGAUGGAGGGACGGAGAAGGUUAGGUGUACCAGGCGUUGGUUGUCCUGGGGAAAGGCGGUAGGUUUGGAUCUUUGGCAAAUCCGGGAUCCUUUAAGACCGAGCACCGAGACGAGUCUUUAAGACGAAGUCACUGAUACCACGCUUCCAGGAAAAGCUCCUAAGCUUCAGCUUACGCAGACCGUACCGUAAACCGACACAGGUGGGUAGGAUGAGAAUUCUCAGGCGCUUGAGAGAACUCGGGUGAAGGAACUAGGCAACAUGGCACCGUAACUUCGGGAGAAGGUGCACCCUUUUUGGUGGCUCGUGCGAGCUAUAGCUGAAGAGGGUCGCAGUAACCAGGCCGCUGCGACUGUUUAUCAAAAACACAGCACUCUGCAAACACGAAAGUGGACGUAUAGGGUGUGACGCCUGCCCGGUGCUGGAAGGUUAAUUGAUGGGGUCAGCCGCAAGGCGAAGCUCUUGAUCGAAGCCCCAGUAAACGGCGGCCGUAACUAUAACGGUCCUAAGGUAGCGAAAUUCCUUGUCGGGUAAGUUCCGACCCGCACGAAUGGCGU
rnacentral:rRNA from 1 species